rnacentral:lncRNA from 1 species
CACACCUAUAAUCCCAACACUUUGGGAGACAAAGGUGAAUCGCUUGAGCCCAGGAGUUUGAGACCAGCCUGGGCAGGUCAGUGAGACUGUCUCUACAAAAAAAUUUUAAAAACUAGCCAGGCAUGGUGUCAUAGGCCUGUAGUUCCAGCCUUAGGAGGCCAAGAUAGGAGGAUUGCUUGAGCUUAGGAGUUUGGCCUGGAUAUUAAAGCAAGACCACCAUCUCUUAUUAAAAAAAAAGCUACACACUUUAUCGCUAUUCCUUAAUAUAUCAAAUUUAGAUGUCGUGUGUGGGCUGCUGGAAAGUUCCUGAUCUUAGAUUUACCAAAUCCACACCUGCAAGGUUAAUAUUUGUGCACAAUGUGAUUUAUUACUUCUUUUUGUUUUCUCCCCCUGGGAGGAAGGCAGAAACAAGCCAAGCUCCAUGGAAGUGGUGCCAGUGCUAGUUUUGUUGAAAUGGCCAAGGACUUAGGCAGCAGUGUCCAACAUUUGGGUUCACCUUGUGUGCACUGCUGUGAUUUACAGCCUUAUUUGGAUGAUAAGGAUGAUCAGAAACCCCAAGGGUUUCUAAUAAUCCUUGCCAUGUUCAGGAACCACCGUCCUAAGCGGAGGUUUUCUCAAGCUUUUCACACUGCAGGGCCCAGGCUACAGCCCUGGAGCAUCGAGACCUGCUGGGUUUCAUCCCAUCUGUUCUUUACAGUGUGCAAAGCUGGCCAGGCCCCUUACUACCUUUAUACUUGGCAUUUAGCACAUGGGGCUGGCAUGGGGCAUUUCCCUUCCUCACUGAGCAGGUGAGGGCAGGUGGCUCAGCCAAGGCCGCAGAGCCAGGAUUGGAGAUCAGGACUUGUCAUGGGUCCUUGUGUCCCCCAGGGCACACAGGUGUGGUGCUGUAGGUGCUGAGGGGUCCUAAGGUGGCGGGUGUUUAACACCUGGUGAGGUUAAAUGCUAGGGUUUUUUCUUCGAAAUGGGGUCUCACUCUGUUGUUCAGGAUGGAGUGCAGGGGCUCGAUCACCACUCCCUGUAGCCUCUACCUCCCAGACUCAAGUGAUCUUCCUGCUUCAGCCUCCAGAGCAGCUGAGACUAGAGGCGCACAUCACUACGCCCGGCUAAUUUUUUUUUUUUUUUUUUGUAGAGACAGGAGGUCUCCCUACGUUAUCUUGGCUGACUUCUAACUUCCGGCAUCAAGCAAUCCUCCCUUCUUGGCCUCCCAAAGGGCUUGGAUUACAGGUGUGGCCAUCACGCCUGGCCAAAUGCAAGGAUUCUCGCCCACUGCCUCCCCUCUAGCCACCCAAGAACACGGAUGAGGGGCCCAGAAACAUGCAUGCAUUCUGAUGCUCAAAAAUGUAAGAUGUCUACUUAGAAGCCAUUAGCCCCUCAGUGCUUCAGGGACCUGGGUGCAGGCAACCGCCCUGAGAUGACCCCUAGUACUGACCCCCGUGCAAUACCCUCCCCCAACCCAGCUUCUGGAACAAGCACCACUUCAAGGCCAUGGCCCUGGUGGAGCAGGUCCUGCAGAUUGUGUAUAUAGCACCAGUGCCCCUGGCAUGGCCUUGACUGUCCUGCGAUGGACCACUCGCAAGCUGCAGGUAACCCAGCUGUCUCUAGAUGCUCAGCUGCUUCUCUCAAAUUCUGUGGGGGUGGGGAGACUGGGGAAGCUGCGAGGGCUAUGCAGUCAUUUGGUCACUUUGACCAAGAGGAGUUAAGUCCUUUUCUUCCUAUGAAGGCUCUCCAUGGCCCAGUUCUUUUGGGUGGGGUAAACCUGUUCUUACACAAAUUACUUAAGCGGCCAGGUAACCAACACUAGUUAUUGCGAUGGCCAUGUUAAGUAUGGUCAUCUCAGUUUUACAUGAGGCAACUGGCUCAGAGGCAAUUUCACUUGUGUAGGGUCCCACAGCUACACAUGGUAGGGAACGAACGUGGGUUUGACUGAAACUAAUGUUUUUCUUUUUGGGGGGACAAGGUCUUCCUCUUGUCACCCAGGCUGGAGUGCAGUGGCUUGAUCAUGGUUCACUGCAGCCUUGACCUCCAGGGCUCAGGCAAUGCUCCGCUUCAGUCUCCCAUGUAGCUGGGACCACAGGCAUACACCACCAUGUGACUAACUUCUGUAUUUUUUGUAGAGACAGGGGUCUCACUA